rnacentral:rRNA from 1 species
ACGGGAGGCAGCAGUAGGGAAUCUUCCGCAAUGGACGAAAGUCUGACGGAGCAACGCCGCGUGAGUGAUGAAGGUUUUCGGAUCGUAAAGCUCUGUUGUUAGGGAAGAACAAGUACAAGAGUAACUGCUUGUACCUUGACGGUACCUAACCAGAAAGCCACGGCUAACUACGUGCCAGCAGCCGCGGUAAUACGUAGGUGGCAAGCGUUGUCCGGAAUUAUUGGGCGUAAAGCGCGCGCAGGCGGUCCUUUAAGUCUGAUGUGAAAGCCCACGGCUCAACCGUGGAGGGUCAUUGGAAACUGGGGGACUUGAGUGCAGAAGAGAAGAGUGGAAUUCCACGUGUAGCGGUGAAAUGCGUAGAGAUGUGGAGGAACACCAGUGGCGAAGGCGACUCUUUGGUCUGUAACUGACGCUGAGGCGCGAAAGCGUGGGGAGCAAACAGGAUUAGAUACCCUGGUA